rnacentral:rRNA from 1 species
CGGACAGUGUCUGGUGGGUAGUUUGACUGGGGCGGUCUCCUCCCAAAGCGUAACGGAGGAGCACGAAGGUUAGCUAAUCCUGGUCGGACAUCAGGAGGUUAGUGCAAUGGCAUAAGCUAGCUUGACUGCGAGCGUGACGGCGCGAGCAGGUGCGAAAGCAGGUCAUAGUGAUCCGGUGGUUCUGAAUGGAAGGGCCAUCGCUCAACGGAUAAAAGGUACUCCGGGGAUAACAGGCUGAUACCGCCCAAGAGUUCAUAUCGACGGCGGUGUUUGGCACCUCGAUGUCGGCUCAUCACAUCCUGGGGCUGAAGUAGGUCCCAAGGGUAUGGCUGUUCGCCAUUUAAAGUGGUACGCGAGCUGGGUUUAGAACGUCGUGAGACAGUUCGGUCCCUAUCUGCCGUGGGCGCUGGAGAAUUGAGGGGGGCUGCUCCUAGUACGAGAGGACCGGAGUGGACGCAUCACUGGUGUUCGGGUUGUCAUGCCAAUGGCACUGCCCGGUAGCUAAAUGCGGAAGAGAUAAGUGCUGAAAGCAUCUAAGCACGAAACUUGCCCCGAGAUGAGUUCUCCCUGAGACUU